GUGCUCACUUCGGCAACACAUAUACUAAAACUGGAAUGAUGCAGAGAUUAUCAUGGCCCCUGUGCAAAGAUGACACGCAAAUUCGUGAAGGUAUGGCUUGGAUU